rnacentral:rRNA from 1 species
GACGAACGCUGGCGGCGCGCUUAACACAUGCAAGUCGUGCGGUGUCGAAGGCAAGUCUUACGACAAGCCUUCGACACAGCGGCGAACGGGUGAGUAACACGUGAGUAGCUGUCCUAAGGAGGGGGAUAACGCCUGGAAACGGGUGCUAACACCCCAUAUGCCUCGCAAGAGGUGAAAGUGUACUUGCUACAGCCUUAGGGUGUGCUCGCGGCCUAUCAGCUAGUUGGUGAGGUAACGGCUCACCAAGGCCAAGACGGGUAGCCGGCCUGAGAGGGUGUACGGCCACACUGGAAUUGAGAUACGGUCCAGACUCCUACGGGAGGCAGCAGUGGGGGAAUCUUGGGCAAUGGGCGAAAGCCUGACCCAGCGACGCCGCGUUGGGGAUGAAGCCCUUCGGGGCGUAAACCCAUGUUGUAGGGGACGAAGAAAGUGACGGUACCCUACGAGAAAGCCCCGGCCAACUACGUG